ensembl:ncRNA lncRNA:CR45422 long non-coding RNA:CR45422
GGCGCGGAAAGAGAAUCAAAGUCGUGUCGAUGCCACUGGGCAACAUGCCAGCCAUCCGGACCAUCCUAACCAUCCGAAGCCCCAUCAUCACCAUCAUGAUCUUGGGGGGAGACGGAAACUUAUGGCGCUCCCUUGGAGUUGGAAGCUACUUUUGGGCCUAAUUGAUUGUUUUUCUACGAGCUCGAAGCUCCGAAAACUUCUGGUAACCUGGCGAGGAUCGACUGGGAUGCUGGCGGAUCUGGUAUCUGGGGAUCAGCUCACAAUGUUGGGAAAUACGAAACGAUGAUGAAGACCUCAGGGGCAAUAUAUAUAUAUAUG